CUAGGAGUUGGAAUAGGAGCUUGCU
rnacentral:piRNA from 1 species